AUACGGAGGAUGCAAGCGUUAUCCGGAUUUAUUGGGUUUAAAGGGUGCGUAGGCGGAUGAUUAAGCGUGAGGUGAAAUGCCACUGCUCAACAGUGGAACUGCCUCGCGAACUGGUUGUCUUGAAUGCUCCUGCCGUGGGAGGAAUGUGUGGUGUAGCGGUGAAAUGCAUAGAGAUCACACGGAACACCGAUUGCGAAGGCAUCUCACGAAGGGGUGAUUGACGCUGAGGCACGAAAGCGUGGGGAUCAAACAGGAUUAGAUACCCUGGUAGUCCACGCAGUAAACGAUGAUAACUAACCGCUGGGUCGUAGUGAUUCAGUGGCCAAGCGAAAGCGAUAAGUUAUCCACCUGGGGAGUACGACCGCAAGGUUGAAACUCAAAGGAAUUGACGGGG
rnacentral:rRNA from 1 species